AAAUUGAAGAGUUUGAUCAUGGCUCAGAUUGAACGCUGGCGGCAGGCCUAACACAUGCAAGUCGAACGGUAACAGGAAGCAGCUUGCUGCUUCGCUGACGAGUGGCGGACGGGUGAGUAAUGUCUGGGAAACUGCCUGAUGGAGGGGGAUAACUACUGGAAACGGUAGCUAAUACCGCAUAAUGUCGCAAGACCAAAGAGGGGGACCUUCGGGCCUCUUGCCAUCGGAUGUGCCCAGAUGGGAUUAGCUUGUUGGUGGGGUAACGGCUCACCAAGGCGACGAUCCCUAGCUGGUC
rnacentral:rRNA from 1 species